rnacentral:rRNA from 1 species
GUGGGGAAUCUUGCGCAAUGGGCGAAAGCCUGACGCAGCCAUGCCGCGUGAAUGAUGAAGGUCUUAGGAUUGUAAAAUUCUUUCACCGGGGACGAUAAUGACGGUACCCGGAGAAGAAGCCCCGGCUAACUUCGUGCCAGCAGCCGCGGUAAUACGAAGGGGGCUAGCGUUGCUCGGAAUUACUGGGCGUAAAGGGCGCGUAUGCGGAUCGUUAAGUCAGUGGUGAAAUCCCAGAGCUCAACUCUGGAACUGCCCUUGAUACUGGCGAUCUUGAGUGUGAGAGAGGUAUGUGGAACUCCGAGUGUAGAGGUGAAAUUCGUAGAUAUUCGGAAGAACACCAGUGGCGAAGGCGACAUACUGGCUCAUUACUGACGCUGAGGCGCGAAAGCGUGGGGAGCAAACAGGAUUAGAUACCCUAGUAGUCC